UCCCAGAUAGCUCAGUUGGUAAAGAAUCUGCCUGCAAUGCAGGAGACCCGGAUUUGAUCCCUGGGUUGGGAA
rnacentral:tRNA from 1 species